AAUUAAGUGGCGGAAUUGGUAGACGCACCAGAUUUAGGUUCUGGCGCCGCAAGGUGUGAGAGUUCAAGUCUCUCCUUCCGCACCA
rnacentral:tRNA from 1 species